CCAAAACUUAUAUGUCAACAUGCCACCUCUCUUCACCCAUCUCAAGAGUUAGACAAACUAAAUGUACUGAAUUCCACAGGUAAACAUUACCCCCUUAUUGCUAGUGUUUCAUAUGAAAGAUUAUCAACUCCAUAUAAAACUUUUGUAACUUGUGUCACUUCACAAUCAGAACCUAGAAACUACUAAGAAGCCAAAGAUUCACUGAAAUGGUGUGCUGCCAUGAAAAUAGAAAUUGAAGCUCUUGAACUUAACGACACUUGGGCUUUAGUUAAUUUACCUCCUAAUAAGAGGGCAAUAGGGUGCAAAUGAGUGUACAAAAUUAAAUUCAAUGCUGAUGGUAACAUAGAAAGGUUCAAAGCAAGGUUGGUUGCAAAGGGAUCUACACAGGAAGAAGGUUUUGAUGAUCAUGAGAGACAUUCUCACUUGUAGCUAAACUUGUCACCAUCAGAACUUUGUUAGCUGUAGCUGCCAUAAAUGAUGGAAUCUUUUCCAAUUCGAUGUUAAUAAUGCCUUCUUACAUGAUGAGUUGGAUGAAGAGGUAUAAAUGGAGCUUUCCCCAGGUUGCUCAAAUGAUGACAGCAAGAAAGUAUGUCGGCUUAAGAAAAGCUUGUAUGGGUUGAAACAAGUAUCAUGCCAAUGGUAUUCUAAGCUAUCUAAGUUUAUUGUUGAGCUAGGAUACAUUCAAUCUAAGGCAGACUAUAGCUUAUUUACUAAGAGUACAUGUAAAUCUUUCACUACUAUUUUGGUAUAUGUUGAUG
rnacentral:lncRNA from 1 species